CUCGCCAGCUUCACCACCCCCGGCACCACCACUGCCAGCCACCCCAACAGCGCCGCGAAUGCCUCGCCCUCGUCCCCCCUCACACCCUCCUCAUCUAAGAACGACGUGAAGUCAAGCAGAUGGCGCCAACGCAUCGCUAGGCAACAAAGAAAGAAGAAGAGAGAAUAAAAAACAAAGAAAGCUCCAGCUUUCUAGCUUUUCUUCUAUACUCCGACGCACCGCCACUGGACUGGAGUGAAGUGGAGUCCUCCUCAUGGCGUCCAAACCACACCCCAACGCCUGCGGCGACGGCGUAAGGCAGCGCGUGAACCGCUGCCUCACCAAGCUGUCGGACCGCGACACCGAGGCCAGGGCCGCCUCCGAGCUCGACUCCAUUGCUCAGUCUCUAACGCCGGAUUCUUUCUCGCCUUUCCUCUCCGCCAUUGCCGACACCCGGCCCACCGAUAAGACUCCGCUUCGCCGCCACUCCCUCCGACUCAUAUCGCUUCUUUCUCAUUCCCAUCCGGCUUCGUCGCUCGCGCCGCACCUCCCCCGCAUGCUGGCCGCCGCCCUCCGCCGCCUCCGCGAUCCGGACUCCUCCGUCCGCGCCGCCUGCGUCGACGCCGUCCGCUCCAUGGCCGCCUCCCACCCCGCCGCUGUCGCUCCCGUCCUCCUCCGCCCCCUCGCCGACGCCCUCCUCCACGAGCAGGACCGCUGCGCCCAGAUCGCCUCCGCCCUCUGCCUCGCCGCCGCCGUCGACGCCGCAUCCACCGACCGGGAUCUCGCCCACCACCUCCAGCGUCUGCUCCCCCGCCUCGUGAAGCUCCUCCGGAGCAACGCCUUCAAGGCCAAGCCCGCCCUGCUCUCCCUCCUCGGCAGCGUCGCCGGCGUUGGUGUUGCCUCAACACCGACCCUACUCGGUCUCCUCGUUUCCUGCCUCGCCGAAUUCCUCGCCAGCGAGGACUGGGCCGCUCGGAAGGCCGCCGCCGAGGCUCUUUCGCUCCUCGCCAUCUCCGAGAAGGAUCGGUUAGCUGAAUUCAAGUCGUCUUGCCUCUCGUCCUUCGAGAACCGGAGGUUCGAUAAGGUGAAGAUCGUUCGUGAAUCGAUGAAUCGGAUGCUGGAGGUGUGGAAGGAUAUUCCAACAGCUUUCGAUACUGAGUCUAAUGCCCUGCCGCCAUCCCAGUCACCGUCCAAACCUUCUCCCAGAGAAAGUGCAAGUGAUGGGAGAUACCCAACAGCUUCAGUAAGUUCUAGUCCUGUCCAAUCUUCUUCUCCUUCAAUAACAAGGAAGAGCGGAUUCUUAUCCAGCCGAUCGCCUCCACCUGCUGCCUCACCAAUUCCUACCACCAGAAAGAACACUCCGAUCAGGAAUAAGAAAUUGUCCUCUCCUUUGUUCUGUAAAACUGACCAUAAGCAAAACUCUGAUUGGCGAGUUGAAAUUGCUAUUCCCAACAUGCAUUCGGUUAAAGUUGAGAGUGAAGAUAUGAUUCUGAAAGUUCAGGGACUAGAAGAAGUAGAGGGUAAUGUCAGAUCCAGGUUAGAGGCAAGAAGAAUGCUUUUUGAAAAGAACAGUGAGGAUAAGGGAAACAAGUUGGCUGGGUUAAAGCAUGCAUCAUGUGUGGUUCCAUUUCAAGAUACUAGGAGCUUGGAAUCAACUGCAGUGGCUGAUAAUACUAGUGAUGAUCUUAGUGCAGCACACAGGGAUGGUGACCUGUCUUUGAUUCGCAUGCAGUUGGUUCAGAUUGAGAACCAACAGUCCAGUCUGUUAGAACUUCUCCAGAGGCUUAUUGGGAGAUCUCAGAAUGGCAUUCAUUCUUUGGAGACUCAAGUGCAUGGCCUAGAGAUGGCAUUAAAUGUGAUUUCUCAUGAUUUAGCACGAUGUUCUGGAAGGAUAUCAAACAAUGGUCAUGCAGUGAAUACGUGCACCAGAUUACCUGGUGCAGGAUUCCUAUGCUCAAAGUUUUGCAGAAGUGAAGACAGAAAUUCGUCCAGGUUAUCUGUUUCUGGAAUGCAGAACCUAGCUGAGGAGGAUGCAGGGGGACCUUAUAAGUGGGAUAAGCAACGGUUUGGACUUCAUGGUGGAUUCAUUGUCAGCUCAUUAGCAGAUAAGAACCAUCAGUCAGGAGGGAGUACAGAUGUUGCUUCACAAAAAUGCUAAAAGAGUGUAAUUUAUGACACUGGAAUGAUGCAAGCAAGCUGGCAAGAAGCAAGAUGAGUUUUCACAAAACAUGAGAUCUGCAUGGUUGAGGGCAGAGCAAUUAUACAGAUGUUUGUUGUAUUAGAAUUCCUCCUCAGAAACUCAAAGCUGGAUGUGUGGAGCCCUUGCAGGAAAUUGAAAGAGGGGAGUAGAAGACUGCUAAGCCAUCCUGCAUUCAAUGAAAGUUCAUAUUUUCUGCAUUCAAUGCCUUUAGAUUCAGACAGUCUUAUUGAUUAGAUCAUCAUGAAUGCCUGGUUUUAGAUAUUAUGAUAAUGAUCCUCUUGUUUGGGGGGCCUGCAGCUAUUAAAAGAUCAGCAUUCUUAGUGUGGUGAACUUCUAUAUUCUGCAGUUUAUUAUUGUAUCGUGUUUCCUUCAAGGUAAUAAAAUUCAGCAUCCCUCAUC